CCUACGGGGGGCAGCAGUGAGGAAUAUUGGUCAAUGGGCGAGAGCCUGAACCAGCCAAGUCGCGUGAGGGAGUACUGCCCUAUGGGUUGUAAACCUCUUUUGUCGGGGAGCAAAAGCCGGACGUGUCCGGCUGUGAGAGUACCCGAAGAAAAAGCAUCGGCUAACUCCGUGCCAGCAGCCGCGGUAAUACGGAGGAUGCGAGCGUUACCCGGAUUUAUUGGGUUUAAAGGGUGCGCAGGCGGAUUUUUAAGUCAGCGGUAAAAUCGUGGGGCUCAACCCCAUCCAGCCGUUGAAACUGGGGAUCUAGAGUGUGCGAGAGGUAUGCGGAAUGCGUGGUGUAGCGGUGAAAUGCAUAGAUAUCACGCAGAACCCCGAUUGCGAAGGCAGCAUACCGGUGCACAACUGACGCUCAGGCACGAAAGCGUGGGUAUCGAACAGGAUUAGAUACCCCUGUAGUC
rnacentral:rRNA from 1 species